CUUUUAUGGGGUGACUGCGUACCUUUUGUAUAAUGGGUCAGCGACUUAUAUUCUGUAGCAAGGUUAACCGAAUAGGGGAGCCGAAGGGAAACCGAGUCUUAACUGGGCGUUAAGUUGCAGGGUAUAGACCCGAAACCCGGUGAUCUAGCCAUGGGCAGGUUGAAGGUUGGGUAACACUAACUGGAGGACCGAACCGACUAAUGUUGAAAAAUUAGCGGAUGACUUGUGGCUGGGGGUGAAAGGCCAAUCAAACCGGGAGAUAGCUGGUUCUCCCCGAAAGCUAUUUAGGUAGCGCCUCGUGAAUUCAUCUCCGGGGGUAGAGCACUGUUUCGGCAAGGGGGUCAUCCCGACUUACCAACCCGAUGCAAACUGCGAAUACCGGAGAAUGUUAUCACGGGAGACACACGGCGGGUGCUAACGUCCGUCGUGAAGAGGGAAACAACCCAGACCGCCAGCUAAGGUCCCAAAGUCAUGGUUAAGUGGGAAACGAUGUGGGAAGGCCCAGACAGCCAGGAUGUUGGCUUAGAAGCAGCCAUCAUUUAAAGAAAGCGUAAUAGCUCACUGGUCGAGUCGGCCUGCGCGGAAGAUGUAACGGGGCUAAACCAUGCAC
rnacentral:rRNA from 1 species